UACGUAGGGUGCGAGCGUUAAUCGGAAUUACUGGGCGUAAAGUGUGCGCAGGCGGCUUCGCAAGUCGAGUGUGAAAUCCCCGGGCUCAACCUGGGAACUGCAUUCGAGACUGCAUUGCUAGAGUAUGGGGAGAGGGAAGUGGAAUUUCAGGUGUAGCAGUGAAAUGCGUAGAGAUGCGGAGGAACACCGAUGGCGAAGGCAGCCCCCCUGGGCUGACACUGACGCUCAGGCACGAAAGCGUGGGGAGCAAACAGG
rnacentral:rRNA from 1 species